GACAUGAAAGAAAGAAUCAUCUAAUUUCAAGUAAUGGAUCACAAGAUAUAGGCUCCGGAAGAUAGCUAACUGAUGUGACAGUGUUAACAGAUACGACUUUUGAUUGAAGAUGCACCUCUGUAGAUGAAUCCUAAGUUGUUCAAGAUGUACACUAAUGCGUAGAACAUGAUCUAAUUGAUGAACUACAGAAGGUUUGGAACCAAACGGAUCAACGGAACAAUUUAUAUGAAUUUCGAAAGGUGGCUCAUCCAGAAACAGCAUACUGUGAAUAGCAAUUUCCAACGAAGAUGCCGUACUGAAGAUCAUGGAGACGGGGUAUAAAAUCUAGUCUGGUAUAGAGAGGUGGACGUGCUCUAACUACAACAGAAAGAUUCGGACGCGGCUUUGGCAUGGGUUCGGAGACGGCGCGGCCAACGGUAUCAAGAGGUCACGAAACCUUGUCACAAAGGUAGGUAAGGGUCACAUGAGUCUACUGGUCAAAGGAAUCGAAGAACGGAGGUUCGGGGUGAUCUCACCGGCAACAAUGGUGACGGUGACCGACGGAGGAAGACGUCGACGUAGCCGGCUGUACAGAGGUUUUUAGGCCAAACUUUCUACAUGGGAAAGGAAGAGGAGAGGCAAAGGCUCAAAGUGACACGCGUGGAAUCCUUUUAUAGUGGCCAAGGAGGGAGAUCGGGCGUGGAUGUUGACGGCCGACAUUCGGGGCGCCUGUUUUGGAAACUGCGAUUAUGAGAGGAAACUUCAAAUUGAUUUCCUGAAUGGGUUCCCGGGAUGGUGACGAUUGAUAGGGUGGUUUCCUUUCGGAGAGAGACGCGCGGAAAGGAAAGAAAUUGAAGAAAGAAAAUAUGGAAAGAAAGGAUUUCUUAAGUGCAGAGGAGGAGGAAGCACGAGCUCGUGCUCGUGGCUGGCUGGGGCGCUCGGUGGAGAUGGGCCGGCCCAGUUGGGUCGGUCCAUUCUCUUUUUUUUUUCCUUUUUUUUUCCAUUUCUUUUUUUUAUUAAUAAUUUUUGAUUCCUAACUCCAAAUAAGUCCAAAUAAACUCCAGAAAAUUUGUAAAUUCAAAUUCUCCAAAGUGUGAACUUUUGGGACUUGAAUCCUUUCAAAAAUAAAAUAAGUAAAAAAUACUUUUGCUUAUAUGAAUGUCAUUAGAGCUUUAUAAGUAAUACAUAAAAUAGGUUUUAAAAUCUAUUAUGAAACCUUUGUUUCAUAAAUUAGUUUAAACUCCAAUAAACAUAUUGGGUUGGCAUACUUUGCACUAAAAUCCUUCUUUAGCUAAAUACCCCAUUGGGUUGAACUCCAAAGAAGAUCUCAUAAUAAUUAUACGGUUCAAUAAAAUUCCCUAAUAGCUUUAUAACACAAAAUCUCAAAUCAUGUAAACCAUCGCAGAUGUUUCCAACUAUAUAUAUAUUUGGGAAGUCACGUUAUCCCACUCUCAACGACGGAAUAAAUGUUGGAAUAACAUUUGCACACGAGGCUGUCACGUUAUCCUCUUCUCGAAUAUUUGAUAGUUUCCUCUCGAAAACAAAAUGAACACGCCAA
rnacentral:lncRNA from 1 species